GACGAACGCUGGCGGCGUGCUUAACACAUGCAAGUCGAGCGGUAAGGCCCUUUCGGGGUACGACGAGCGGCGAACGGGUAGGAGUAACAACGUGGGUGGACCUCGCCCUCCAGCUCUGGGAGUAAAGCCUGGGAAACGUAGGGUCGUAAUAACUGGAUAUGACUCCACGGUGCAUGUCGUGGGGUGGAAAGACCUUGUGCGGCUGAGGAGUGGGCCCGGCCGGCCUAUCAGCUUGUUGGUGGGGUGAUGGCCUACCAAGGCGACGACGGGUAGCCGGCCUGAGAGGGCGGU
rnacentral:rRNA from 1 species